rnacentral:rRNA from 1 species
UACAGAGGGGGCAAGCGUUGUUCGGAAUUACUGGGCGUAAAGGGCGCGUAGGCGGCCCUGCUAAGUCGAACGUGAAAUCCCCGGGCUCAACCCGGGAACUGCGUCCGAUACUGGUGGGCUUGAAUCCGGGAGAGGGAUGUGGAAUUCCAGGUGUAGCGGUGAAAUGCUUAGAUAUGACAUAGAACACCGAUUGCGAAGGCAGCUCGCUACGCCUAUAUUGACUCUGAGACUCGAAAGC